ACCAGACUCCUACGGGAGGCAGCAGUGGGGAAUAUUGGGCAAUGGGCGCAAGCCUUACCCAGCAAUACCGCGUGAGUGAAGAAGGUCUUCGGAUUGUAAAGCUCUUUGAUCAGGGACGAACAGAUGACGGUACCCGAAGAACAAGCCCCGGCUAACUACGUGCCAGCAGCCGCGGUAAAACGUAGGGGGCGAGCGUUGUCCGGAAUGACUGGGCGUAAAGGGGGCGCAGACGGCGAUGCAAGCCAGGAGUGAAAGCCCGGGGCCCAACCCCGGGACUGCUCUUGGAACUGCGUGGCUGGAGUGCAGGAGGGGCAGGCGGAAUUCCUGGUGUAGCGGUGAAAUGCGUAGAUAUCAGGAGGAACACCGGUGGCGAAGGCGGCCUGCUGGACUGCAACUGACGUUGAGGCCCGAAAGCGUGGGGAGCAAACAGGAUUAGAUACCCGCGUAC
rnacentral:rRNA from 1 species